rnacentral:rRNA from 1 species
UAGGGAAUCUUCGGCAAUGGACGAAAGUCUGACCGAGCAACGCCGCGUGAGUGAAGAAGGUUUUCGGAUCGUAAAACUCUGUUGUUAGAGAAGAACAAGGACGUUAGUAACUGAACGUCCCCUGACGGUAUCUAACCAGAAAGCAACGGCUAACUACGUGCCAGCAGCCGCGGUAAUACGUAGGUGGCAAGCGUUGUCCGGAUUUAUUGGGCGUAAAGCGAGCGCAGGCGGUUUCUUAAGUCUGAUGUGAAAGCCCCCGGCUCAACCGGGGAGGGUCAUUGGAAACUGGGGGACUUGAGUGCAGAAGAGGAGAGUGGAAUUCCAUGUGUAGCGGUGAAAUGCGUAGAUAUAUGGGGGAACACCAGUGGCGAAGGCGGCUCUCUGGACUGUAACUGACGCUGAGGCUCGAAAGCGUGGGGAGCAAACAGG